CACAUACACACACACACACACACACACACACACAUACACAGACUUACACUCACCUGCACCACAAUAAUAACUGAUGUGUGGGUGUGUUGGUGUGUUUGAGCUCAGUUCAGGGAUCAGGAUUAUAAAUCUUCAAGAUUGUACUUUGACAUUUUUAUAAAUCCCUUCCGUGUGUGCUUAAGCGUGUGUGUGUUUACGUGGCAUGAUGUCGUCAAACUGGGCGAGGACACCUCUCUGACCGGGCUGUUAGACUUGUUAAGCUGGUGCAGGAAUGCGGUGCGACUUUGCUGCUUUUUGCUUUGUAACACACAUCGAGGUGUUAGUGCUGGAGCGAUGGACUUCACCCGGUAUGUGGGACGCUGCUUCGGCUUCUUCGUCCUGGCCAUCAUCCUGGACGUGGGCGGCCUCGUGCUCUUCCUGCUCGGCAUCUUCGCACCGCUCAGCUUCUGGGAUUUCUUCGUCCUCUCUGGACCCAUUAUCAUCUUUCUCAGCCUUAUAUUCUGGAUCUUCUGGUACUUGGGGAACCUUAACGUGCCAUACCAGCAGCUCCUAGCUUAGAGGAGUGGACAUAAGGGAUGGGGGAAGAGGGAUUGGGACCAAUCCAAGAGAUUGGGGACUUUCAGUGUUUUUACGAGCGACGGGGGGACGAUCAAGCACUUUAGCGGAGCUGUGAUGUGACCACCACAGAGGGAUCUGCUGUGGUGAUGAUCACGUGCUGAAGCCUUACAUGAAGAAUACAACUGACACUGAUGACUGUGAACUGUGAUGAACUCCACAGGACUUAAUCCGCACUCUGUGCACUUUGUUUAAGGAUGCUUGUUCUGAAAUCUGAACGAAGCCCCAGCAGUCAUGCCGCUGUUACUGUUAAUGUAUUUAAUAUACGAGAAGUGAAGGUGAAGACGAGGUGGACCACACAUACCACACAAACACACACACACACACACACAGGAAUAGGGGGAAUGUAAUCUAAUGCAAACACUGCAACGAUGCUUAAAUUCCAGACGGAAGCAGUCCAACUGGAAGAGCUUGUGUGUGUGCAUACAUGUGUGUGUGUUUGUGUGUGCAUAUUUUAGCAGCUUCUGAUACUGAAAAUCUUGUAACAUUGAGGAUUAUUAUAUUGAUCACAACAACUUGUAGACAUGAAUAUUCCAAAAACCUGAGCUUCAGUGCUACUGGGUUUAAUGACGAUGAUGAUGAUGAUGAUGAUGAUGAUGUCACUGUUGUAAAAUAAGAUUUACAUCUGUUCCCCUUUCCCUCUAUUUCUGUCAUUGUCUAGACUGCAGGUUGCUUUAGAAUAAAAGGCGCAGUGUGUCA